UGGGGAAUUUUGGACAAUGGGCGAAAGCCUGAUCCAGCAAUGCCGCGUGUGUGAAGAAGGCCUUCGGGUUGUAAAGCACUUUUGUCCGGGAAGAAAUCCUUGGCUCUAAUACAGUCGGGGGAUGACGGUACCGGAAGAAUAAGCACCGGCUAACUACGUGCCAGCAGCCGCGGUAAUACGUAGGGUGCAAGCGUUAAUCGGAAUUACUGGGCGUAAAGCGUGCGCAGGCGGUUUGCUAAGACCGAUGUGAAAUCCCCGGGCUCAACCUGGGAACUGCAUUGGUGACUGGCAGGCUAGAGUAUGGCAGAGGGGGGUAGAAUUCCACGUGUAGCAGUGAAAUGCGUAGAGAUGUGGAGGAAUACCGAUGGCGAAGGCAGCCCCCUGGGCCAAUACUGACGCUCAUGCACGAAAGCGUGGGGAGCAAACAGGAUUAGAUACCCUGGUAGUCCACGCCCUAAACGAUGUCAACUAGUUGUUGGGGAUUCAUUUCCUUAGUAACGUAGCUAACGCGUGAAGUUGACCGCCUGGGGGAGUACGGUCGCAAGAUUAAAACUCAAAUGAAUUGACGGGGUCAUAGCUG
rnacentral:rRNA from 1 species